GCGAGGGUGGCGGAAUAGGCAGACGCGCACGUUUGAGGGGCGUGUGGUUUAACCGUGCCGGUUCAAGUCCGGUCCCUCGCA
rnacentral:tRNA from 1 species